rnacentral:rRNA from 1 species
CCUACGGGAGGCUGCAGUGGGGAAUAUUGGACAAUGGGGGCAACCCUGAUCCAGCCAUGCCGCAUGUGUGAAGAAGGCCCUCAGGUUGUAAAGCACUUUCAGUGAGGAAGAACGCCUGGUGGUUAAUACCCAUCAGGAAAGACAUCACUCACAGAAGAAGCACCGGCUAACUCCGUGCCAGCAGCCGCGGUAAUACGGAGGGUGCGAGCGUUAAUCGGAAUUACUGGGCGUAAAGCGCGCGUAGGUGGCUUGAUAAGCCGGUUGUGAAAGCCCCGGGCUCAACCUGGGAACGGCAUCCGGAACUGUCAAGCUAGAGUGCAGGAGAGGAAGGUAGAAUUCCCGGUGUAGCGGUGAAAUGCGUAGAGAUCGGGAGGAAUACCAGUGGCGAAGGCGGCCUUCUGGACUGACACUGACACUGAGGUGCGAAAGCGUGGGUAGCAAACAGGAUUAGAUACCCUGGUAGUC